AGUGGGGAAUCUUAGACAAUGGGCGAAAGCCUGAUCUAGCCAUGCCGCGUGAGUGACGAAGGCCUUAGGGUCGUAAAGCUCUUUCGCCAGGGAUGAUAAUGACAGUACCUGGUAAAGAAACCCCGGCUAACUCCGUGCCAGCAGCCGCGGUAAUACGGAGGGGGUUAGCGUUGUUCGGAAUUACUGGGCGUAAAGCGUACGUAGGCGGAUUGGAAAGUAUGGGGUGAAAUCCCAGGGCUCAACCCUGGAACUGCCUCAUAAACUACCAGUCUAGAGUUCGAGAGAGGUGAGUGGAAUUCCGAGUGUAGAGGUGAAAUUCGUAGAUAUUCGGAGGAACACCAGUGGCGAAGGCGGCUCACUGGCUCGAUACUGACGCUGAGGUACGAAAGUGUGGGGAGCAAACAGGAUUAGAUACCCUGGUAGUCCACACCGUAAACGAUGAAUGCCAGUCGUCGGGUUGCAUGCAAUUCGGUGACACACCUAACGGAUUAAGCAUUCCGCCUGGGGAGUACGGUCGCAAGAUUA
rnacentral:rRNA from 1 species